GAGACAGCAGCAGCCACGGGAAUACAGAGGGUGCGAGCGUUAAUCGGAUUUACUGGGCGUAAAGCGUGUGUAGGUUGUUGUUCAAGUCAGUUGUGAAAUCCCUGGGCUCAACCUGGGAACUGCUUCUGAGACUGAACGACUAGAGUACGGUAGAGGGUGGUGGAAUUUCCGGUGUAGCGGUGAAAUGCGUAGAUAUCGGAAGGAACAUCAAUGGCGAAGGCAGCCACCUGGGCCUGUACUGACACUGAGACACGAAAGCGUGGGAUCAAACAGGAUUAGAUACCCCUGUAGUCCCUGUCUCUUAUACA
rnacentral:rRNA from 1 species